AUCUUCUUUAACUUCAACAUCCAAUUAGGAGGAAGGAAGGCUGGUUUGAAAGGAUGAUGUUGAAAAUACCUUCAUUUCUGCUUCCAUUUUAGCAGAAGUUCUCUGUACAGAUAGUCUGGAUUACAUAAAAGUGUUUUGAGGCAAGUCCCUACAAGUUCCACAAAUGUACCCUUUGGGAAAACAUGGAAGUUACCACUAUCUUAUCUGAUCAUACAGUUUAUAUACAGAAACCCUUCAAAAAUGCAGUUAUUGGAUUCAUGAAGUCAGAAACCUCACAUACAGUUGUCAAACUUCUUGCUAUUUCCGUUUCCCUGCUAGUUACCUCAUGCACACUUCAAAAUUAUUUUAAGUGUCAGAAUAGUCAGACUUACAUUUUACAAAUAUCAUUAUGGUGCUUCAAGAAAUGAUAGCUCUCUGGGUGAUCAUGCAACUGAGGACUCAAAUCCUUCUGUCCCCAGGUGACCAAACAGUUCAGAAACCUUAUAUGGAAGAGGUCCAAAUUAUGUUCAUAAACAGAAAUACAGCUAGGCACAGAAUGCUUGACUGUGAUUACAGUUAUCUUUCCAUAAAAGGUUGUCUUUUUUUUUUUUUUUAAUUCAAAAGGUAAGUGCACAGUAAGAAUACAAAAUAUGGUCAUGUAUUGCCUCUGAGAACUACUCUUUGGAAUGUCAAAUGGAAGGGUAAAUUAAAUUCUACAUAGAAAUGUUUCUGUUAUAAGUUUUGACAUUUCUUAUAACAUUCUUACCUAGACAUUAAUGUAUGUUAGCUUGAAAUUGCAGAGUAAGAAGUCCAUUUUUAGUGUGAAUCAUAUGAUAGUAGGAGUACUGAUCUAGAUUAACUUUAAUGAUGCUUUUAAAAUUUUACAAAGCUCUUACACAGCUUUUCACAUUUAUGUUAGAGAAUAAGCUUUGUUUGGCCUACCAAGUAGACAGGUGCCAAAUAUAGUGAAUAGGAGGUGUAUAAUAUGUACAGAAAUGAUUGCAUUUCCCUCUGGAAUGCAUUUUCCAAAUACUUUGAAAACUGGUAAACAACAGCAACAACAAUAAAACCUUUGCUAUAAUUUAAGAACUGCCUUGCAUACUGUUUGAAAGGUGGAUUCAAAGUUUAAGUUAUAAUGGAAAAUGAGAUAAGACUACUCACAAAAUAACAAAGCAAUUUUCUUUUUAGACCACUAGAAUUAAAUCAUCUUACAUUUCCAAUUCUAGCAUGGUUAUCUGACUAAUUGUUUUGCAUGUAACAGCUGCAAUUAAGCCACCAUAUAAUCCUCUUGAAAAUUGCUUAAAUAGUGAAGAAUCUCAGUCAUCUCUGCAAAGAUCUGUUGAUUUAAUAGCUUUUUCCUUCAUUAGAAGAUCCUUCUGUAAAUCCUGAUAUCUC
ensembl:lncRNA